UGUGACCUCAAAUCAGGUAGGACUACCCGCUGAACUUAAGCAUAUCAAUAAGCGGAGGAAAAGAAACUAACAAGGAUUCCCCUAGUAACUGCGAGUGAAGCGGGAAAAGCUCAAAUUUAAAAUCUGGCGGUCUUUUGGCUGUCCGAGUUGUAAUCUAGAGAAGUGUUAUCCGCGCUGGACCGUGUACAAGUCUCCUGGAAUGGAGCAUCAUAGAGGGUGAGAAUCCCGUCUUUGACAUGGACUGCCAGGGCUUUGUGAUGCGCUCUCAAAGAGUCGAGUUGUUUGGGAAUGCAGCUCAAAAUGGGUGGUAAAUUCCAUCUAAAGCUAAAUAUUGGCGAGAGACCGAUAGCGAACAAGUACCGUGAGGGAAAGAUGAAAAGAACUUUGGAAAGAGAGUUAAACAGUACGUGAAAUUGCUGAAAGGGAAACGCUUGAAGUCAGUCGCAUCGUCCAGGGAUCAACCUUGCUUUUGCUUGGUGCACUUCCUGGUUUGAUGGGUCAGCAUCAAUUUUGACUGUUGGAAAAAGGCCUAGGGAAUGUGGCAUCUUUGGAUGUGUUAUAGCCCUGGGUCACAUACAAUGGUUGGGAUUGAGGAACUCAGCACGCCGCAAGGCCGGG
rnacentral:rRNA from 2 species